AUUUGGCACACAGCUCUCCUGUUCUCAACAGCUAGAAAGGGCUUCAGUCUGCUGCCAGCUCAAAGGGGGCCCACCCACAUGGAAGGCGCUGUAAUACUGUCUUAAUCCCUGGUUUCCAGUCUCCAAGGAAAGGAACCAGCAUAGAAAGAGGUCCUGAGACAUGCAAGAGCAUGGUAUUCACUUGCCCUGCUAGGAAAGUGGAAUAAAAGCAGAGGGGAUCAGAACCAACCAAGGUACAGCGAGUUGACACUCAAUGUGUUCUGAGUCACCGGAGGGUACAUCAGCAUGAAUCCCGUGGGUACGAGUGGCACAUCACUCUAGCUGAGAGUCAAGCCUAAAGCAACUGGGCCAGUCAUGUCCCUGCAAGCCUCCUGCUUGUUCUUCUCUGGGAACUCCCAAAGGGUGUUCCUUAUCACUCGACUUCCUGAGCAUGCUGACGGGAGUUCUGAAGACAAAGUCUCAGCGUUGAGUGAACUUGGAACAUCAUUGAAAUUGCUACUGUUGUGAGAGAGCUUGCCAGUCCUUAAUGGCAUUUUUUAACCUUGGAGAAUUAAAUAAAGUUUAAAAUUUCCUCAGA